AUUGUUCGCCGACUUUCGAAUCAUUCGAUUAUUUGAAAUUUGAAUUUUGAACAGAAAUACAGUCUACAGACUACUUACAUUCGUACAGAGUUCUUUUCAUACAUUUUAGUUAAAAAUUACAAUGCAUAAGUGUAUUCUUUUUAAUAAAACAUCCAAAGUAUCGUUUCGCCACAUUAAUUUAAUUUUCAUCUGUAUGUAUUAUUUUCAAACUAGUAAUAAGUUCUCCCAGCACCAUAUUUCUUAUUAAUAAAAUCAUACCUAUCUGACCGUUCCUUUAAGGUUCGUAUUAAAAAUAGUUAUUCAUCCAGCUAUCGUAUUUUAGCAGGUGUCUCACAAGGUAACGGCAUCUGUCCCUUUCUUUAUUCUGUGUUCACCUACGACAUCCCAAAAACAUACUUCAUUCUCCUUGGUACAUAUGCCGAUGACACUCUAAUUUCAGCGUGACAUCAGAAUUCCUCAACUGCUUGUCGGAUGAUCGAAAGUCACCUAAAUAUGAUUAACUUAUGGACAAAACGGUGGAGUAUAAAAAUUAAUGAAAACAAGUCUACUCAUGUGACUUUUACAUUGCGCAGUUCUGAUUGCCCACCUGUCACAUUUAAUAACAAAAUUUAAAAAAAAGAAAAUUGAAGGAAAUAAUGGCUAAAAAUCUUCAAAUUAAAUGAUUACCCAAUUUCUAUCUGUCAAAGAAUCUGCGGUAAUCAUUUCAAAAUCAUUGAUUAUAAACAAGGCUCAGUAAAUUAGUAUAUAUCAUGGCAAGAGACUGUUUCAAAACAUAAUCCAUACAACUUGUAUGGAAUAGAGAAGUAGAAUAAACAUUAUAAAAUAAAUUUUAAUAAUUUACAACAACUCUGAGUAAGACUAGUAAGUAAUAAGAGAAUAUUUCUCACGAUGAGUUAGAUGAAAAUUAACCGUCUAACAAAGAAUUUGGAGAUGUUACAGUUGAUGACUUUAAUCUACCCAGAAAAGCCUUAGAAACUUAAUAAUGUGUAAUUCACACACACUUAUUCAUACCUUGGAUUAUACUUAUUCUGGUUUUCAAAACUGAAAUAUUUGAUGUAUCACAUAUAAGGAACUAGAAAGUCGAGCCGAUGUAUUGACAAUUUUUCAGAUGUUAACUUUCUCGAAGAUCAUUCUGCCGGCUCAGAUCAAGCCAUACAAUAUUGGCGCAAGUUAUGAAACUUAAAGGUGAGAAUAUUAUUGAUAGGUUUUAAUUUUAAAGCCAUUUUAAUGUGCCAUUAACUAACAUACCCAUCUGUUCACAGGACACAUUGUAUAUCUAAUUGUGUGCGUGGGCUUAUAUGUAUUUGUAUCAAAAAGGCUUAGCCUGUGUAGUCAAUAUAAAUGAAUACAUAAAUAUUUAUAUGUUAAAAUCUUAAAAUAUCCUUAGCUUGCUUUAAAAGUAAAAUACAAAUAAAUGCUUAGUGCUUCUCUAUAAAGUUCCUUAAAAAAUAUUUUUGACAAAACUUGAUUUUGUUUUUUUGGUGUGACUAAAAAAAAAACUAUGUAUACAUGAUUUUUUCACCGAAUGUUCCAAUUAACAUUUUCUAUAUACCAUACAAUUUUUAAAACAAUUUUACUCUUUUUGAACUAAUUAUAGGGAUAAGACAUUUUUAUUAGUUAAGUUAUUACAAUUAGUAUCAAAAAAAGUUCAUUGCUAUGUCAAAGAGUUUGAAAAUGUAACACAAGGAUCUUGUAAGAAAAGGAUAAAGGAUCUUUAUCUGUUCAAAAAUAUUAAAGAUACAUAGCCACUAUUUUUCAUAAGCAUUUAAAGUUCAAAUGUUGACAAAAUUCAUCAAUAAUUUGCAAAUUAUUUAGUAGUUAAAAAUGUAUAAAAUGUUCAAUAGUCAAGGGUUUACAUUAUUUUAGAUUUUUCAUAAGUACUGUUUAUACUGUACCUACUUGAACCUUUUAAAGUAUACCAAAUAGAAUGUUUUUGGUAAAAAUUCAUUCAAUUUACUGUUUUACUAAAAGUAGAAUAAAUUACUUUAACAGCAUUACCAUAAAAUGUGGGUACUUGUAUUGUAAUAUAGGCUAACAGUCUUUGGCUCUUCGCUCAGUAUCGUUUUUUUUGUAUAAAAUGAUUUUAUAUCAUUAAAUUAAAUUUAACACAUCCAUAAUACUGACCUACCAGCCACCACCCACACGACUUGUAAUGUACAGCAAAGCGUAACCAGCCUUUUUAUUAUUAUUUUAAUUUAUAGAAUAUAAGAACCUGGUGGAAUUAGAUUGAAAUUAUUAGUUUUCUUUAUUUACUGUAGUUUUACCAAAUCCCAUACCUAAUAUUGAUAAAUAUGAUGAUAAUAUUAUGUACGGUUAUCAACUACAUUUGUUUUUAGAAACAAAAAGUUAUUUUAGAAUUCGUCAUUAUUGAUCUGAUUGUUAUGACAAUUGGAUCUGUAUUUUGGGACAUUGGGAGUAAGUGGCAACUUGAUACAAAUAUAAAGUUCUAUUGAAGUGUGUGAACAUUGUGAACAUCUAAAAUUUCAUAUAGGACGGUAUAAACUAAUAAGUUGUACCCCUUAAUUAAAGGCAUAGGUUAGUAAUAUGAAUUGUUUAUUUUAUAUAUAGUAUUACAUUUAUUUAUAACUCAUAUCUCUCAGGUCCACAUGUUGUUGUUUAGUAGAUGUAACUUACACUUUGCAGAAUAUAUCCAUCUUUAAAAAGAUACCUAAAUCGUAGUAUUAUAAGUUCAAAUACUACAAUUAGUAAAAAUAAUAAAAUUUCAAAUCAUUGAAGUUUUACUAAAGUGGUAAGAAAUGUUUUAAAAUAUCAAUGCUCAUGACUGGUAGUAAUUUUCAGAAUUAAUUUUUUUUUUUUAAUUUAUUUUAAACAAAAAAGUGUUAUACAAUUAUUGUUUUCUUUGGUUCUUAAAUAAUCAUUGUAAAUUAAUUUCAUUUUUUUUUUUGGCCCAUCUCAUAUCAGACAAUUUUUUUCAAUGUUAAAGUCCUACCUAUCAUACCUUCAAUUUGUUUUACUUGUAUAUCUUUUAAAAUAUGUAAUGUAGGUUAACUUCUGGUUAGAAAUGUGGCCCAUGUAAGUUGGUACUGUCUCAAGCAAAUUGAUUAACUUUUGAUGAUUUAUAUUUUAUAAUGUAUAACAUUUUGUAUUGUACAGUUGUAUGUUUAUAUUAUAAACUAUAAAACAAAAAAAAAUUCUAAAAAUCUCACACAUUGUAAAAUCUACAGUAGGUACAUCAUUAAUAGCUAUUUACUCAAAUCUAAAAUAGUAAAAAAAACAAA
rnacentral:lncRNA from 1 species